rnacentral:rRNA from 1 species
GAUGAACGCUCGCUACAGGCUUAACACAUGCAAGUCGCGGGGCAGCAUGGGGGUUGCUUGCCAUCCCCGAUGGCGACCGGCGCACGGGUGAGUAACGCGUAUCCAACCUGCCCUUCACCACGGGAUAACCCGGCGAAAGUCGGACUAAUACCGUAUGUUGUCCAUUGACGGCCUCCGAUUUGGACGAAAGGUUUGGCGGUGAAGGAUGGGGAUGCGUCCGAUUAGCUGGACGGCGGGGUGACGGCCCACCGUGGCGACGAUCGGUAGGGGUUCUGAGAGGAAGGUCCCCCACACUGGAACUGAGACACGGCCCAGACUCCUACGGGAGGCAGCAGUGAGGAAUAUUGGUCAAUGGGCGUAAGCCUGAACCAGCCAAGUAGCGUGCAGGAUGACGGCCCUAUGGGUGGUAAACUGCUUUUAUGCGGGGAUAAAGUGGCCCACGUGUGGGUUUUUGCAGGUACCGCAUGAAUAAGGACCGGCUAAUUCCGUG